GAGUGAACGCUGGCGGUAGGCCUAACACAUGCAAGUCGAACGGCAGCACAGUAAGAGCUUGCUCUUACGGGUGGCGAGUGGCGGACGGGUGAGGAAUACAUCGGAAUCUACUUUUUCGUGGGGGAUAACGUAGGGAAACUUACGCUAAUACCGCAUACGACCUACGGGUGAAAGCAGGGGAUCUUCGGACCUUGCGCGAUUGAAUGAGCCGAUGUCGGAUUAGCUAGUUGGCGGGGUAAGGCCCACCAAGGCGACGAUCCGUAGCUGGUCUGAGAGGAUGAUCAGCCACACUGGAACUGAGACACGGUCCAGACUCCUACGGGAGGCAGCAGUGGGGAAUAUUGGACAAUGGGCGCAAGCCUGAUCCAGCCAUACCGCGUGGGUGAAGAAGGCCUUCGGGUUGUAAAGCCCUUUUGUUGGGAAAGAAAAGCAGCAGGUUAAUACCCCGCUGUUCUGACGGUACCCAAAGAAUAAGCACCGGCUAACUUCGUG
rnacentral:rRNA from 1 species